rnacentral:tmRNA from 1 species
GGGGGUGCACCGGUUUCGACCCGUGCGGUCCGCGGUGUACGCUGCAGGUGGAGUGGCUACCCUCCUCAAAGUAGCAAACCUUUCAAGUGCCAACAACAACGGCGCUCUCGCUCUCGCUGCAUAACAGCGGAACGACGGACAUGCGGGCGGCUCUUCCCCGCCACCCGCGAUGUCUGUAACCACAGGGGAAUUACCUUGGAUGCAGCCCGGGGCCUCCAGGGGACAUGACACCGGAAUAGGGAGCAGGAAACGUGCCGAUCCGCUCGCCGGCUCCCGACAAUGCAAUGAUCGGCUAAACCUGUAGAGGCGUGCAUGGCGCGCCCGGGGACGCGGGUUCAAUUCCCGCCACCUCCAUGU